rnacentral:pre_miRNA from 1 species
UUCUUAGAAUAAUAUGUCCCAUGCAAUAUUUGGGAAGUACUUAUACUAAAA